GUGGGGAAUAUUGGACAAUGGGCGAAAGCCUGAUCCAGCCAUGCCGCGUGUGUGAAGAAGGCCUUUUGGUUGUAAAGCACUUUAAGCGAGGAGGAGGCUACCGAGAUUAAUACUCUUGGAUAGUGGACGUUACUCGCAGAAUAAGCACCGGCUAACUCUGUGCCAGCAGCCGCGGUAAUACAGAGGGUGCAAGCGUUAAUCGGAUUUACUGGGCGUAAAGCGCGCGCAAGUGGCCAAUUAAGUCAAAUGUGAAAUCCCCGAGCUUAACUUGGGAAUUGCAGUCGAUACUGGUUGGCUAGAGUAUGGGAGAGGAUGGUAGAAUUCCAGGUGUAGCGGUGAAAUGCGUAGAGAUCUGGAGGAAUACCGAUGGCGAAGGCAGCCAUCUGGCCUAAUACUGACACUGAGGUGCGAAAGCAUGGGGAGCAAACAGGAUUAGAUACCCUUGUAGUCC
rnacentral:rRNA from 1 species